CCUACGGGUGGCAGCAGUGGGGAAUAUUGCGCAAUGGGGGCAACCCUGACGCAGCAACGCCGCGUGAAGGAAGAAGGUUUUCGGGUUGUAAACUUCUUUUGUCAGGGACGAAAAUGACGGUAGCUACCGAAGAAGCAGCGGCUAACUACGUGCCAGCAGCCGCGGUAAUACGGAGGGUGAAAGCGUUGUUAGGCGUAAUUGGGUGGAAAGGGGGCGUAGUCGGGGUAGCAAGUCAGAUGUGAAAGCUUGCGGCUUAACCAUAGAACUGCUUUUGAUACUGUUAGCCUAGAGUACAGGAGAGGUAGGUGGAAUUCGUGGUGUAGCGGUGAAAUGCGUAGAUAUCAAGAGGAACACCGAUUGCGAAGGCGGCUUACUAGA
rnacentral:rRNA from 1 species